rnacentral:rRNA from 1 species
GACGAACGCUGGCGGCGUGCUUAACACAUGCAAGUCGAACGGAAAGGCCCUGCUUUUGUGGGGUGCUCGAGUGGCGAACGGGUGAGUAACACGUGAGUAACCUGCCCUUGACUUUGGGAUAACUUCAGGAAACUGGGGCUAAUCCCGGAUAGGAGCUCCUGCUGCAUGGUGGGGGUUGGAAAGUUUCGGCGGUUGGGGAUGGACUCGCGGCUUAUCGGCUUGUUGGUGGGGGAGUGGCUUACCAAGUGUUUGACGGGUCGCCGGCCUGAGAGGGUGACCGGCGACAAGGGGACUGAGAGACGGACCAGACGCCUACGGUAGGCAGCAGGGGGGAGUAUUGCACAAUGGGCGGAAGCCUGAUGCAGCAACGCUGCGUGCGGGAUGACGGCCUGCGGGUUGUAAACCGCUGUCGCCUGUGACGAAGCGUGAGUGACGGUAACGGGUAAAGAAGCACCGGCUAACUACGUG